rnacentral:lncRNA from 1 species
GAAGCUGCGAAGAUGGCGGAGUAAGGCGUGCCGCUGCAAACUGGCCUCUGGGCCGGGGGCGAGCAGCCCCCGGGAGGCCGAGUGCAUCUGUUGGACCGUGCGAGGAGAAGAAAAAAAAUAUCGGCCAGAGGAGAGGAACUAACCGAACAUUCUUCCUCCCUACCUUAUAGAGGGGAGUGGUCAUCUACACUAAAGCAAAGUGUUAGGCGCGUCCGUGCGAAGAGACCACCAAACAGGCUUUGUGUUCCUUAUCACAGGAAGAAAAUUUUCCUUGACCUUUAGGUGCUUUUAUAUUCAUCUCAAAAACAAAAUUCUGAACUCAGGACUUGGCAAACCACCGCUGAAACUUCACUUCUACACAGAGGCUUUCUUUCCCAGAAACCCAGACCAGAUGGAGUUUCACUCUGUCGCCCAGGCUGGAGUGCAGUGGCACGAUCUCGGCUGACUGCAGCCUCUACCUGCUGGGUUCAAGCAAUUCUUCUGCCUCAGGUUCCUGAGUAGCUGGGAUUACAGACCAACCAUGCAACUUUAGAUCAGAGGACACAUGGGACUCUGCAUCUUAAUUCCUAAAUUUACAGUCAAAGACAUUUUCAGAGAUAAGUAUUAUGAAUUCAAUAAGAAUCUAAAGUAAGUUCUUAAGGCAAAUAGCUAUAAAAGAGAAGAAUCCUUAGUCUCUCAUCUUCUAAAAACAGCUUCACAAAUAAUUUGGAAAAUCAGCCUAAAGGUAAAUAGAAACUGCAUUUCCCCUCCAUUCUUGAAGCCAAUCUUUUUCAAGAAAUGACUAAGCAGCACCUGUUGUUGAAGACAGCAAUAAAGCCUGAACCUGACACUCAA